UAGUUAUUUGCCCAAAUUUGCAAAUUUUGGAACAGAUUUGCAAUUUAUUGGUUAGACAGCUUUUAGUAAAAUAUUUAAGCUGGACAUACAUGUUGCAAGAAAACAAGUUCAGUGACACCAUUUUAUCAUUUUAUUCAUAAAACAUAUUAUAAAACCUAUUUUCUCACAAUUUAUUUCAAAAUACUAUCUCCUGGAACAAAUGUGUUUUUUCAUAAACAAUCUAACAAAAUUUCAACGAGUCCUGCAUGUAGCUUGGAAAAUAGCACAGUGACCCAUACUUUUUUUUAUAUUUCUGAAAAAAGCAUAGUAUAAUCUUCAUUUAAGCAAAGUAUAAGAACAUUCUAUCUGAAGAAAUAUAUACCUAUGAUCUAACUUAAUUGACUUUUAUGAAUUAAACAAGAUAGUUGAUAUACAGCAAUUAAACAGCAUCCCACAGAAAAAUGAAGAAAUUUGAAGGUCAAAAUACAGAUUUUUCCACAACUGACUGAACUGAAAACAAUUUUCUACCUAUCAUUAUUACACAUAAAUAAAUAUGUUUAAACAAGUAUUCGCUGUAUGUACAAAAUUAAUUAAAAUUAAAAUUUGGCUUUAAAAGUAGUUUUAUAAGAUGGAUUCAAACAAUGUACACAGACAUAAAAGGUUGUAUACUCAACAACGGUUGGGUGUCCAGCAGUUUUAACAUUUUUCGUGGUAUUCGACAAGGAUGUCCAAUUUCUUCGUUAGCCUUUGUAUUAGUAGUUGAAAUUAUGGCAAUUAAACUAAGAGAAGAUAAUAAUCUCAAAGGUUUACAGGUGAAACUAGAUGGUAGAAAUUGCUCACUUAAAAUAUGUCAACUUGCAGAUGAUACAACACUAUUUCUUAAAACACCAAAAGAUGUUAGUUUAG
rnacentral:lncRNA from 1 species